GACGAACGCUGGCGGCGUGCUUAACACAUGCAAGUCGAACGGAAAGGCCCUGCUUUUGUGGGGUGCUCGAGUGGCGAACGGGUGAGUAACACGUGAGUAACCUGCCCUUGACUUUGGGAUAACUUCAGGAAACUGGGGCUAAUACCGGAUAGGAGCUCCUGCUGCAUGGUGGGGGUUGGAAAGUUUCGGCGGUUGGGGAUGGACUCGCGGCUUAUCAGCUUGUUGGUGUGGUAGUGGCUUACCAAGGCUUUGACGGGUAGCCGGCCUGAGAGGGUGACCGGCCACAUCGGGACUGAGAUACGGCCAAGACUCCUACGGGAGGCAGAAGUGGGGAAUAUUGCACAAUGGGCGGAAGCCUAAUCCAGCAACGCCGCGUGCGGGAUGACGGCCUUCGGGUUGUAAACCGCUUUCGCCUGUGACGAAGCGUGAGUGACGAUAAUGGGUAAAGAAGCACCGGCUAACUACGUG
rnacentral:rRNA from 1 species